rnacentral:rRNA from 1 species
UACGGAGGAUCCAAGCGUUAUCCGGAUUCAUUGGGUUUAAAGGGUGCGUAGGCGGAAUGAUAAGUCAGUGGUGAAAUCCUGCAGCUUAACUGCAGAACUGCCAUUGAUACUGUCAAUCUUGAGUAUAUUUGAUGUGGGCGGAAUGUGUCAUGUAGCGGUGAAAUGCUUAGAUAUGACACAGAACACCGAUUGCGAAGGCAGCUCACUAAGCCAUAACUGACGCUGAUGCACGAAAGCGUGGGGAGCAAACAGG